ACCAGGAACCCGGUGUGAGUCCGGGACGGUCCCGCCACUGUGAACCAGCCGCACCUCGGGCCGGUGAGUCAGGAACUG
rnacentral:ncRNA from 2 species